CCCAACCUGAACUGGGAAUCCAGGAGGCAAAUUGUAGUCUCUAGGAUAUUGGAAUAACAAGGGUGUCAGCACUUUCCCUCAACCUUCAAGGGUAGACUGAGGAUCAUGCAAGGCUUCAAUCACACCAGAAGAUACAAGUAAAGAAAGGCAGGGGCCCAUCCAUAAGAAUUGUAUAGUCGUGGUAAAGGUUAGGGAGAUUGGAGAUCGUGGGUCUGCAUGUACUUGGGGCCUAUACUCGGUAACUCAUACUGGACACAGCUCUGAGUAUACUUUCUACUGUAGUUAGGGAUGGCUGGGAUAUGGAUGAAGCUGAACCUGAAGAGUGAAUUCCUCUGUGUUUGAAACCAAAAAGACAGAGAAAUGCAAGAGCAAACAUUGUUCCUGCCUGUGACUAACUUUAUGACUUUAUAAGAGAAAGUAAUCUCAGAGGCGUUACUUACCUCAGUAAAAUGAAGGUAAUAACACUUAAACUACUUCAAACCAGAGUCUCGGAUCAGGAAAAUUUUGCCAUCUCUUCCAGAAAUAAGACACACAACUUUAAGAUUUCAUUGUUUUUCAGUAAGUUAAAUGUUUGCCAAGAAAGAAACUGUUGACUCUUCUAAUGAUGACAGUUAAAAUCUCAUACUCAAAGUAGGAGGAGGAGCAUUUUCAAAUAAAUCUAUAUUUUCAUGGACUCAGGAGUGUCACAGAGAACAGUAAGCUGUGCAUAAAGAUCACGACAUGAGUUUGAAGAACAGUAGAAUUUGGAUGGACCCAAAGAGAAAGAUAAGAUGUUACUAUGGAGAGACUCCACUCUAAGCACUAAUGUUGGACUUAAUCACGUGGUAAUUGCUGUUAAACAAGCACUCCUUGAGAGACAACAUCUCUCUUAUGAACAUCCCUUCAGAUGAACAAAACCAUCUCCUCCCCUCUUCUGAGGGAUUUGAAAAACAAAGCUUGCCUGUCUAUCUAAAGCAUAUUCUUCAGCUGUUGAGAAGAUUCAGAUGGAAAUGAGAGUGAACCCAGGAAAUAGGAGUUACAUUAUAAAUAUCUGAAUAAAUGAAGAAUUAUCAAAUAAAUUGAUGAAUGCAUCCAAGCUAUGACCUGGACCAAGAACUUCUGUGGUGGGAAAAAGAGAAGGUUUUCUCACUUAAGUGGCCCUCCUGAAUGAACUGUUUGCCUCUCCACAGUUGCCUAGUUUUGCCUUCCUACCUUACUGUGCCUUCCUUAAAUGAAACAGAUGGAGUUAAAGAAAUAGAAAAUCUACAAUAACAAAUAACAUUAUUUGUCCCCACUUACCACUCAAAAGGAGUCUGAGCCUCCUGUACCUACUUCUUCUGCUGGUUAAGUUAGAGAGAAAUCUGGAAGAUGGUGAUGGCACAUUUCUUGAAUCUGUCUGACUAUCCAUUAAAAUAAACAAAGUAAUGACUAUGGUAAAACCAAACACCCAUAUAAGAAAACAUAUGAAAAUAUAUUUUCCUGUACCUCCAAAUGUGAGUGGUGACCAACCACCAACAGUUCACAAUACAAGGUAUUCAUACCUGUGUGGGGAGACGCAGAAGGAAGACAACUGGAUAUCUGUUAGUUCUGAGAAUGGUGAGCACUGGGCUAAUCUGAGAAUAGCAUCAGAAAGAAUAUGACAGGUUUCUGUAGAAUCCAACUCAAAAAAGACUACAAUGGAUUAUACUACCAUAAAUUCUAAUGGUGCUUGAGGCAUCUGGGCUUAUAAACUCUCAAAAUUAUUAAAACAAAACCUAUCUUCCAAGGUU